CUCAAAGAAGAGAGGGAGAUAAUGAUGCAAAAUGUUGUUUAAUCCAGUGUGAAUCGCCCCAGGUCUCUCACUGCUAUUGCUCACUGGCUGGCUUUUUGAAGGAUAGUUGAAUUUUGCACAAGCUUACCCUGAGUUUGUCCUGACCUACCUAGAGGAACUAAAUGAAAGAGAGGAGAUGACCCAGACAGAAAACCGCAUUCACCAUGGGGCCUGGUCUGUAGCUCAUCAGGAGAUAGACAGCAGCUCAGCAGAAGAGGUCACAGUAUUAAGCCAGAGGCAGGACCUUUGGACGCCCAUUUAA
rnacentral:lncRNA from 1 species